rnacentral:rRNA from 1 species
GACGAACGCUGGCGGCGUGCUUAACACAUGCGAGUCGAACGGAAAGGCCCUGCUUUUGUGGGGUGCUCGAGUGGCGAACGGGUGAGUAACACGUGAGUAACCUGCCCUUGACUUUGGGAUAACUUCAGGAAACUGGGGCUAAUACCGGAUAGGAGCUCCUGCUGCAUGGUGGGGGUUGGAAAGUUUCGGCGGUUGGGGAUGGACUCGCGGCUUAUCAGCUUGUUGGUGGGGUAGUGGCUUACCAAGGCUUUGACGGGUAGCCGGCCUGGGAGGGUGACCGGCCACACUGGGACUGAGAUACGGCCCAGACUCCUACGGGAGGCAGCAGUGGGGAAUAUUGCACAAUGGGCGGAAGCCUGAUGCAGCAACGCCGCGUGCGGGAUGACGGCCUUCGGGUUGUAAACCGCUUCCGCCUGUGACGAAGCGUGAGUGACGGUAAUGGGUAAAGAAGCACCGGCUAACUACGUG